rnacentral:rRNA from 1 species
CCCUUAGAUGUUCUGGGCAGCACGCGCGCUACAAUGGUCUUCGCAAACGGAUGCAUUCUCGAAGGAGAAUGCCAAUCUUGGAAUCUAUGCCUUGGUCGGGACAGUUGCUUGCAAUUUUUCGACUCGAACCAGGAAUUCCUUGUAAUCGUGAUUCAUCACAUCACGAUGAAUACGUCCCUGCCCUUUGUACACACCGCCCGUCGCUCCUACCGAUCGAAGAGUUAGGUGAAUUGUUUUGAUCGAUAAGAUUUGACUAUGGUCGACUCUCGUUGUGAAAUUCUGUGAAUCUGACUGUUUAGAGGAAGGAAAAGUCGUAACA